rnacentral:lncRNA from 1 species
UCCAACAUCAUGGAACCUGCUGGGUCAUAAAGACCUGGUUGUGGAGCCUAUUUGUACGACAGGCUGAUCAGUGCUGAGUCUUCUCUUGCUCUGGGCACCACUGAAAGCUGGCAGCUUUUUAGGCCACCUGGUACAAAGGUCAAAGCAGGACACCAAAUGUGGGCUCCAUUUGUUCCAGAUCGAUCCCCUGUUACAUAAGAAAUCUCUCAAGGAAAACUGACCUGACGAGGAGAUGGAAUCACUGACACCGGAUGUCUCUCUUAGCAAGAGCAAGGAAUAUCAGAGGGACCUUUCUAAUUCUGAUAUCUCUUGUCAUGUGGUAGCUACUGGACACUGCCCGUCUCAGACAGUUCCUGAUUAUUGCCCUAUAGCACUGGUUCCAAACGACUGUUCCUUCCCUAGGGUCAGAUGCAGAUACAAUUACCUGGAAUCAAUUCAAGAUAAAAGAGUCAGCUUUUGAAAUGGGUCAGAAGAAAGAAUCACUGCCAAUGAGUGAAAUCUGGUUGAAAGGCUAAAACAAGAACGAUUCCCAGUUUGAAGCUUAUUAUUAUUUCCAAUUUUAGGUUGAGAGUUACAGGGAUAUUGUAAAAUUGUAAUUUUGAAUAUUGUAAAUAAACAACUUAAAAGUGUUGCCAAAGUAGC